rnacentral:rRNA from 1 species
AUGAAGCUGGAAUCGCUAGUAAUCGCGAAUCAGAAUGUCGCGGUGAAUACGUUCCCGGGUCUUGUACACACCGCCCGUCACACCAUGGGAGUCAGUAACGCCCGAAGUCAGUGACCCAACCCUAACCGGAGGGAGCUGCCGAAGGCGGGACCGAUAACUGGGGUGAAGUCGUAACAAGGUACC